UAAAACUAUCAUUUUAGUCUACAGCCAUACCACGCUGAACAUGCCUGAUCUUGGAAGCUAAGCAGGGUCAGGCCUGGUUAGUACUUGGAUGGGAAAACUAUCUUAUAAAAGAAAUCCUGGGCCUAGUUUUAA
rnacentral:rRNA from 1 species